GUUUCAGCCGCCGCGGUAAUACGUAGGGUGCAGGCGUUAAUCGGAAUUACUGGGCGUAAAGCGUGCGCAGGCGGCUCUUUAAGUCAGAUGUGAAAUCCCCGGGCUUAACCUGGGAACUGCGUUUGAAACUGAGGAGCUAGAGUGUGGAAGAGGGGGGUGGAAUUCCAGGUGUAGCAGUGAAAUGCGUAGAGAUCUGGAGGAACACCGAUGGCGAAGGCAGCCCCCUGGGCUGACACUGACGCUCAUGCACGAAAGCGUGGGGAGCAAACAGGAUUAGAUACCCUGGUAGUCC
rnacentral:rRNA from 1 species